GUCAUGAUUUGGUUCUAUUUUACUAAAUUUUUUGGUAUUCUGUUCAUUUACAUUUAAAAUUUUUUUUUUGGUUGCAAAUAUUUUGAACAUUUGACUUCGAUGUCUACAUAUUUCAAAUAUUGGCAAGAAUGUUGAGCAUUACCCGUUUUGAUUUAUGUGAACAUUUUUUUUGGAAAAAUAAAUAAUUGAUUACAUAAAUGUUGCAUGUCCUUUUUAUGAAUAUUAUUGGAAGAAUAAGGAACCGGAUAUAAAGAAAAAUAGAAGACACUCAAAUAACAAUUCAAUUUUUUUUGAGGAAGAAUAAAAUGAAUUGUCAAAAAUGAUAUGAAAUAUGAUGUUGUUGAUCUUUUGAUUAGACAUUGAAUUGUGUACAAUGUAAAAAGAUGUAUGGUCCCUACUUCCAAGGAAAAAUCUGCGGAGAGGCAUGCAUAGAAAGCGAUGGGAGAUUGACGCCAGAUUGUAACAAUCCAGGAACCUUGGGCACCUAUUUGAAGAGG